UACAGAGGGUGCAAGCGUUAAUCGGAAUUACUGGGCGUAAAGCGCGCGUAGGUGGUUUGUUAAGUUGGAUGUGAAAUCCCCGGGCUCAACCUGGGAACUGCAUCCAAAACUGGCAAGCUAGAGUAUGGUAGAGGGUGGUGGAAUUUCCUGUGUAGCGGUGAAAUGCGUAGAUAUAGGAAGGAACACCAGUGGCGAAGGCGACCACCUGGACUGACACUGACGCUCAGGCACGAAAGCGUGGGGAGCAAACAGG
rnacentral:rRNA from 1 species